rnacentral:sRNA from 1 species
AGACAUAGUGUCAAAUGCCUUGGCGAAGUC